ensembl:lncRNA
UUGUAGGGGAAUUUACAGUUAAAACCCAAGGACCAGAUAUGAUGAAUGAAGACCAGGAGUCAGAGAUGCGUUCAAUUAAAGAAAAAUUUACUGAAGAACAUGGUUUGCAGUUUCAUCAGCAGAAGUCAGCUUCAGUACUCUCGAUGGAGUUCGUAGGCCGCUCUGCGUACAACUCAAAAUCACCAACAAUUAUACUCUUGACAGAGAACUAAUUGCGUCAAUGCAUAGGUCAGCAAAAUUCUGAUUGGUUCCAAAACCUAGAUAAACUUAGACAGUUUCCACAUAUGGACACAAGCUUGAAGCAUAUCUUCUGACGACUAUUCUGGUGACAAGUCGCUCCAAAGACGUAUAUCUGAUACGCUGGACAUCGGCAGUUGAACGUUUGUCCUGGGACUAUCUGAGCUUUUCCCUGUACAGACAGAUACUAACACACAUACGCAGAGAACUUAUCAGAACUUCAAGGCUGCCUAGCCCUAGCUAGAAUUUUAUCAGUAUGGUUUGUUACACACACACUAUGAAGUCAUCAUCUUAGAGAGUAGAAGUACAGCAUAAAGCAGGAUUUUUUAAUAUCUCAUAAGCGCACAUAAGGUUACACAUUUUACUCUUGCCAUAACUUGAUUAAUAGUCAAACAAGAAAUAACGUAAUAAUAUAAUUAAUAUCUAUAUGAAGGAUAUAGCAACUCAGCAUCCACUCCUUCAGUGUUGAAACAGCAAUUAGAAAUUAUAACAAAAAUACAACAGCAACACAAAAAUAGCAGCAAAGGUGAGGGAAGGUGAGGGUCUUAUUCUAGUAACAAAAACAAAUUCAAAGCAGAUUAGAGUUUCUGGGUGUUUUUGUCCAACAUGUAGCAGAGAGUGGGGCACAACAUAACACUUCAUUUUUAUUCACAUAAAUUUCACACCUGUCUAAUACAAAAUAUGUGGUCUUGUUUAAUAAAUAGUUUUUUUUGUUUGUUUGUUUGUUUUUUUUACCCCAAAAGAAUGGUAGGGAAAUGCCCCGUAGGUGGAGCACAUUGUAACAACUGAGGGGUUAUAUUGUAACAUGACCAUAUGACAGCUUAAGAUGUUGUCUGAUCUAAUGAAAAAGAUAUAAAAGACAAAAAAAAAAAAAAAAAAAUUAACAAAGCCUUUUUUUAAAAAAAAAGAAAAGAUUUUAAAUUAAACAAAUUUUGCUUGGGAUGGCCCUGAUGUUUUGACCCCCUCAUCAGAACACUCUGUUUGAACAGGCAUGGCAGAUUAUAGACUCAGAAGUAAACGCCCACUGCUAUGAUUGGCUAACAGUUGCGUGAGUUUGACAGUCUACAUCCUUCAUAAAUAUAUGCUGCUGUGAUUUAGGUUAAAAACGCAUAAAUACUCAUUACAUAUCAAAUGAUCUGUAAUAACAGACAAAACAAUAGUGAGCACAUAAUAAAAACAGUUCUUUACAUUUGUGUGGUGCCACAUUACUAUCAAAUUCAAAAUAGUCUCCAGAGCAUCGUCUUUUAGUUUCAAUCUUUCUGAAAAUCCUGCACUGAAUUGUGCCUUGUUUGUAAACGAAUCUGCAGUAAAAUGAAGUGAACAAAGGACCAAGUUCUUACUGACAAGUUCAUCCACUUUUUCCUAAUUUUGGGAUCAGAAGGAAGGCAAUGCAAAGGCUGUGUUUUCCACAACUUGGCACUGCACAGUGUCUUGUUUUCUUCUGAACAUUUUUAUCGAUUGAUUUCUGUGUAGACCUGCGUUUGCCUCUCUCGUUAUUUACACUAUGCGUGAGUCGGUGGGCGGGGCUAAACAGGCAGUGAUGUAGAGGCAGGCAUUGAUGAUCUUCUGCGGAGGCGGGGUUUAGCCACACUAUUACGUCAUAAAGUGGCACAUUCCACAAGCUGUCGUUUUGGCAGAUUGGCUUCAAUAUAAGCAGUUUUUAGACUAACAAAAGAGUUUUGAAACUCACAGGAUGUGACCUCUUGUAUGUCAAAAUAUCAAGGGAAUUUUGAUUUCUCAGGUCAUGACCCCUUUAAGUUAUUUAUCAAAAUGUCUAGGUUUUUAUCCUUCAACAGUACUCCAACUUUAAUUGAGACCACAGUCAAGGGGUGUAAUGUUAUGUUUGGAAUUAAGC